AAAUACCACCAGCUGUUACGGCCAAGCUGCUUUCUCUCUGCGGCGGCUCAACGUCACUUUUGACGGAAUUCCUCAUGGUCUAAACGAGCCGGCUUAAUGGCUAAUUUAUAACCGUGAAAGUUACGUCACGAAACAUGUUGAUACGGAUCUUUGAGCAUUUUUUAGUGGUUAUACAGAAAUUUGUGACCUUUUCUAGUGGGUAUACGGCAUAUACCUGCGUAUCACGUAGACUACACCACUGGUUAUACAGUAGCUACAGUUACAUUGUGCGUAACUGAUUGUUUAGAAUGAAAAAUAGGUUGAAUGGGUUGUCAUUGUUUCUCUCAUUACAUUUAUAGCCUGUAAUUCAGUCAUUUUUGCUGUAGACAUUAGUACUGACUGGGCAGAUAAAUAAAUAAAAAG